rnacentral:rRNA from 1 species
GUUGUCGUGUCAACGGCAUUGCUGGGCAGCUAUGUUCGGAAAGGAUAAGCGCUGAAAGCAUCUAAGCGCCAAGCCUCUCCCAAGAUGAGUUCUCCCUGAAGAGCCGUGGAAGACUACCACGUUGAUAGGUUGUGGGUAUAAGCACAGUAAUGUGUUCAGCUUAACAAUACUAAUGCUCGUUCGGCUUUACUGA